GAUUUUUUUUUUUCAAGUUGGACAAGUUGACUAGUGCUCCGAAUUUCGACAGCUUUAACCUCUUAGUGUGAACCUUAGUGUUUGUUUAUUAUUUUCAUGAUUUAAAUCAGCAAUGGAAAAUAGAGGUGAAAAUCUUUUAAUGGUGAAUGAAUUAUUAUCUUCAUCUAGUAAUAGUGACGACGAAGAAGAUGAAGUAUUUUUGUUCCUGUUUGAUGAUAUUUUCGGAGAACAACGUGACCAUUACAGAAGGAGAAUUCCGAGAAUUAUCUCGAGAAACUUUUGAGUACUUGCUGUACUUACUACAACCUAAUUUAGAAGGACGACGAGUAAACAAUCGUAUCAGCCCUGAAAAACAGCUGUAUAUAACGUUAUAUAUUUUUGGGACACCAGAUUAAUUCUUACAGGUCUGUUACGUCAAAGUUUGAUGGUAAAGCAACUGAAUUGGUAAAGCAACUGCAUGGCGAGCUGUCAAAAGAGUCGUGAAAGCCAUUUGCCAUUUGCGUAUCGUUUUUAUUCGUUGUCCUUCCCAAAGAGAAGCACAAGAAACAGCAAGAAUCUAUAGAAAUAAAGGAUUUCCAGGAGUAAUAGGUGCCUUAGAUGAUACUCAUAUCAGAAUUUCUACCCCUAAAGAGCAUCAGCAGUCAUAUAUUAAUCGGAAAGGAUUUCAUUCCAUCCAUUUACAAGCAGUGUGCAAUGAUAAAUUGGAGUUUUUGCAUUGCUACACAGGCUUACCUGGUUCAGUACACGAUAGUCGUGUAUACCGGUACUCAGCUUUGCUCAAAGGUGUACUGAAGAGUACUUCCCAGAUAACACUCACUUGCUCGCUGACUCAGCGUAUACAUUGCAGAAUCACAUUAUUGUACCUUACAUUCGAAAUAGACAUUUGACAUUAGAAGAAGAAUAUUUUAAUACUUCGUUAUCAAGAGUAGGUACUAUGAUCGAAAGAGCAUUUGCUAUAUUAAAAGGACGAUGGAGGUUUUUUUUUGGAUAAAUUUCCAAUGAGAAAUACGCAUUUGGUUCCAUACUAUAUUUUAUGCAUAUGUAUCUUGCACAAUAUUUGCUUAAAAAGACAAGAUGAAUUAGAAUUUCCUAUGGUUAUCCCAGAAAUUGAAAAUGAUAACAAUGGCCCAGUUCAAGUAAACAAUGAAUUAGAAGAUCAAGGAAUCCAAAAAAGACUAGAAUUAACUCGCAUAAUCAAUGAAAAUGUACGCUGAUUUUUAAUACAUAAUCAAACGAAAUCAAAAAUUAAAAAUUGUAUAUAUUAUUAUUUAAUAAUGACAGUAUUUUGUAACUCAUUUUGCGUGCAUAUAAAUGUAUAACUUCAAGGACCAUUAAUGUAAAUAAAAGUCAAUCAUUGUCUACAUUCAA